rnacentral:rRNA from 1 species
GUUAAAAAGCUCGUAGUUGGAUUUCUGUUGAGGACGACCGGUCCGCACUAUGUGCGUGUAUCUGGUUCGGCCUUGGCAUCCUCCUGGGGAACGGUGCUGCGCUUGAUUGCGUGGUCUGGUAUUCAGGACUUUUACUUUGAGGAAAUUAGAGUGUUUACGGCAGGCAACCGCCUUGAAUAUAUCAGCAUGGAAUAAUAACAUAGGACCUUGGUUCUAUUUUGUUGGUUUCUAGAACUAAGGUAAUGAUUAAUAGGGAUAAUUGGGGGCAUUCGUAUUAACACGUCAGAGGUGAAAUUCUUGGAUUGUGUUACGACGAACUACUGCGAAAGCAUUUGCCAAGGAUGUUUUCAUUGAUCAAGAACGAAAGUGCGGGGAUCGAAGAUGAUUAGAUACCGUCGUAGUCUGCACCAUAAACUAUGCCAACUAGAGAUUGGAGGUCGUUCUUUUUAUGACUCCUUCAGCACCUUAUGAGAAAUCAAAGUCUUUGGGUUCCGGGGGGAGUAUGGUCGCAAGGCUGAAACUUAAAGGAAUUGACGGAAGGGCACCACCAGGAGUGGAGCCUGCGGCUUAAUUUGACUCAACACGGGAAAACUUACCAGGUCCAGACAUAGUAAGGAUUGACAGAUUGAUAGCUCU